CGCUCGCCCGUGUGCAGGCGCACGUGGUUCCGCAGCGUGGAGGACUGACUGAAGCGGCGGUUGCAGAAGCGGCACACGAACGCUCUUCAUCUGCUCCAGGAACUCCAGGAAUUCCCAGGAACGUGUUGUGAGUGUUUCCAUACCAGACGAGAAGCUCCUGGUGGCGCAUGCAUGCAUACAUCAUCUCAUCUCGACCUGUCCUCACCUCCACUGCCUUGUAGAAGAUGCUGCUGCCGAUCUGCACCACCUCCAGAUUCUGCUCCUGCUCGUUCCUGGCGCACUUGAUGACCGUAAACGUCAGACCUGACACUGACACUGAUAUGGAUAUAACCGUCCAUCAUCACAGAAACUCACCUCCCACAUGAGGUUGUUAUUCUUGAACAGGUCCACGUGCUCAGGAGACAGGACCCUCCCGGUGAAGGGGCCCAUCUCGG